AUUGAACGCUGGCGGCAGGCCUAACACAUGCAAGUCGAGCGGAUGAAGGGAGCUUGCUCCUGGAUUCAGCGGCGGACGGGUGAGUAAUGCCUAGGAAUCUGCCUGGUAGUGGGGGAUAACGUCCGGAAACGGGCGCUAAUACCGCAUACGUCCUGAGGGAGAAAGUGGGGGAUCUUCGGACCUCACGCUAUCAUAUGAGCCUAGGUCGGAUUAGCUAGUUGGUGGGGUAAAGGCCUACCAAGGCGACGAUCCGUAACUGGUCUGAGAGGAUGAUCAGUCACACUGGAACUGAGACACGGUCCAGACUCCGACGGGAGGCAGCAGUGGGGAAUAUUGGACAAUGGGCGAAAGCCUGAUCCAGCCAUGCCGCGUGUGUGAAGAAGGUCUUCGGAUUGUAAAGCACUUUAAGUUGGGAGGAAGGGCAGUAAGUUAAUACCUUGCUGUUUUGACGUUACCAACAGAAUAAGCACCGGCUAACUUCGUG
rnacentral:rRNA from 1 species